rnacentral:rRNA from 2 species
AACGUAGGACGCGAGCGUUAUCCGGAUUUACUGGGCGUAAAGCGCGUGCAGGCGGCCUGUUAAGUCGUGCGUGAAAGCUCCCUGGCUCAACCGGGAGAGGCCGUACGAAACUAGCAGGCUAGAGGGCAGCAGAGGAGUGUGGAAUUCCGGGUGUAGUGGUGAAAUGCGUAGAUAUCCGGAGGAACACCAGUGGCGAAGGCGGCACUCUGGGCUGUACCUGACGCUAAGACGCGAAAGCGUGGGUAGCGAA